AGCGAACGCUGGCGGCAGGCCUAACACAUGCAAGUCGAACGAACACUUCGGGCUUAGUGGCGGACGGGGGAGGAACACGGGGGAACGAGCCUUUGGGUUCGGAAUAACUCAGGGAAACUUGUGCUAAUACCGAAGGUGCUCUUAGGGGGUAAGAUUUAUCGCUAUUGGCGCGGCGCGGGUCUGAUUAGGUGGUUGGGGAGGUAAUCGCGGGCCAACGGGACGAUGAGUAGCUGGUGUGUGAGGAGGACAAGCCACACUGGGACUGAGACACGGCCUAGAAUCGUACGGGAGGGAGGAGUAGAGAACCUUGCGCAAUGAGCGCAAGUCUGACGACGCCGUGCGGGGUGAAUGAUGCAGGUGGUAGGAUUGUAAUAUUCUUUGUCCCGGGGCGAUAGUGACGGUACCCGGUGAAGAAGCCCCGGCUAACUACGUG
rnacentral:rRNA from 1 species